CUGUCAGUUUUUGUUCGCAGAAACUUCAGUGUGGCCGCGGUGACUUCCAUCAAAACAGUGACUCAUCUCUGCAGUUCACUCUGUGAUUUCUCCCUUUCUCUGUUCCCCGUGAAAAGCCCCAAGGAUGGAGUGGCUGUUCGGCAAGAAGAUGACUCCGGAGGAGAUGCUGCGCAAGAACCAGCGUGCCUUAAACAAAGCCAUGCGCGACCUGGACAGGGAGAAGAUGAAGAUGGAGCAGCAGGAGAAGAAAGUGAUUGCGGACAUCAAGAAGCUUGCCAAGGAGGGUCAGAUGGACGCCGUGAAGAUCAUGGCGAAGGAUCUGGUGCGGACGCGACGCUAUGUGAAGAAGUUCAUGCUCAUGAAGGCCAACAUUCAAGCUGUGUCGCUGAAGAUUCAGACGCUGAAGUCCCAAAACACCAUGGCACAGGCCAUGAAGGGCGUCACGAAGGCUAUGCAGAACAUGAAUAAGCAACUCAACCUGCCACAAAUCCAGAAGAUCCUCCACGACUUCGAGCGACAGUCGGAGAUGAUGGACAUGAAGGAGGAGAUGAUAAACGAUGCGAUUGACGAUGCCAUGGAGGACGAGGGAGACGAGGAGGAGUCUGACGCGGUGGUGGCUCAAGUGCUGGAUGAAUUGGGUCUGCAGCUCAACGAUCAACUCUCAGGAUUGCCCCAGGCUUCCGGAUCGCUAACUGUGACCGGAAUGAAGCAACCUCAAGCAGCGGCUGUGGGCGCUGCCGCUGGCGGUGGGGCUACAGGCGGAGGAGGCACGUCCUCGCCGGUUUCUGAUGCAGAUGCCGAUCUCCAGGCUCGUCUCGACAAUCUGAGACGAGAGUAAGAACCUCAGUCGUCCAUCUCAGAACCUCCCGGGAGGUCUUAUUUUUGUAUCAGCGUUACUUUCCCCUUUGUUACUCCUUUCCUUCUGAUCUGUACAUUAUUUGCUAUAAUAAAUACUAGUUUAUAGUCAUCUGCAAGUUUUUAUACCCAAAAACAAUUCAAGAAAAUCUGGAGGUUCUAUCUAUUUCACCAGUCGGAAUGCCGCCAGUUCGACACAUUCUCAGCACGCAGCCUUAUAAUUGUGCAAACCUUCAGAAGACAUGCGAAGUAUUUAUUUAUCAUUUCAAGGGUAAUAAAGACGAGACUAUGAAAUUAAUCAGCAAUCAUUUAUUAUAAUAAUUAAGUUACAUAAGAAAAAUACAUAAGUUUUGUCUUUUUAAAUUCAAUAAUUUAUUAAAAAUGUAUGAAAUUUGUGGUAAGAAGAUGAAUUAAACGUGUGUUCUGAUGAGCAACUAAAAUGUUUUAUUAGGAGUCCCUCCCUAUCAGUUCAAGUGUCCCCAGAAAGAUGCCACAAGAUUAUUUUGCCUUUAAUUACUUUAUUAUCGCCUCGUCCGAUAGAUCUGGCCGCAUCUGAAAAAAAAAGAAAGACAGUAUCAAAAUCUUAUAUAUUAAAUUCAAUUAGAGCAAUUUAUCACUUGGAUUUUUUAUUAUUAAUUUUUUCAUUUUUUAUUAUAUUAUUAUAUAUCACAGGAAUUUUCACGGGCUUUACACGCCACACCACAAUAUCACCAAACUUUAUUCACAAUAAUUUAAUGAUCGCAGUUCACAAUGAACCACGUCACCAAUUUUAUUGUUUUAUAACCUGAUUUUCUUAUUUUGCUACACUCUUCACUCUUAUUACACUAUUAUUUUAACAUUCUUCACUCUUUUAUAGUUUUCACACAAUAUUUCACAUUUCUUCACUCCUUCUUACACUCUUCUUCACAAUAUUUUACAUUUUUCACUCUUUUUACAAUUUUCACUUACAUUUUUCAAUCUUUUUUACAUUCUUCUUCACAAUAUUUUACAUUUUUCACUCUUUUUACAAUUUUCACUUACAUUUUUCAAUCUUUUUUACAUUCUUCUACACAAUAUUUUACAUUUUUCACUCUCAUUACAAUUUUUUAUUUACAUUUUUGACUCUUCUUUACAAUUUUCAUUAUACGUUUUCACUAUUAUUCACUGAAAUUUUACUUUAUACACAGGUUUUUUAACAAUUUUACACAUUAAUUUGAGUUUUCACCAUAAUUUAGCACUUUUCAAGUAUCGAAAUUAGUAAUGGUAAAAAUACUGCACCUGAUCAACAGAAUAAUAUGGCCAGAAAUGCCAGUUUUGGCCAUCGAAACCAACUUCUAUAUAAUAUAGAUUGCAAAAAAUAAUCGGCGUAAUCAUAAUUUGUUCAAUGUUUUCCAUAUUUGCUUCUUUUCAACUAUUAUUUCGGGUUUUUGUUUUUCACGCUAUUUUCACGUCUCUUCUCUUCGCUCUUCACUGUACGACUGAGAAUUUUUCAGAACUGCACUGAUAUUUAUACCCUCGGCCGACCCGAACGAGCCGAGCACGCCGAGAGCCAAUGAGCGCUUUGCGAGCGAGCCGUAACCCUGGCGACGGGCAGUUUUGCAACAAUACUGCGAUCGCGGAUCAGUUUUCGUCGAUCCUUCUAGAACAUUUUCUAGAAGCUUUUUCUCACUCGAUGAAAAGUGCCCAAAUUCAGUGUUUUGAGUCAAUUUUCCACUCCAGGCACGCGAUCCUGUGCAAUUUACGCACUUUGCACCUCUGGAACAGGAAGGAACAAGUGGAAUUGUGUGAAUCCUCGCGUGUUUUUGCCAAGUUUCCGCGCAAGAAAGUCGUUCUGAUUGUGUUUGCGUUACCAGUGAGCAAAAAUGGCAUAGUCCUGAUGGCGAAGGAUCUGAGCCUGGGCAGGAGUGAUCAAGUGAACGUGGGCAGCGUGCAGAGCAGUGCUGAAGCAUCUCUCCGACGUGGAAAUCAGCGCACGCGCGCUCAAGAAGAACAGCGUUCCGCGGACAUGUUUGGCGGAUUGGAGGCCCAUGCU